rnacentral:rRNA from 1 species
AUUGAACGCUGGCGGCAGGCCUAACACAUGCAAGUCGAGCGGCUCGGCGGACCGGCGAGGAAUGGCUAGGUAUCUGCCUGGUUGUGGGGGAUAAAGUUCGGAAACGGGAGCUCAUCCCGUAUUCUAUUACAUUAGCCUAUGUCGGAUUGGCUAGUUGGUGGGGUAAAGGCAUACCAAGGCGACGACCCGUAACUGGUCUGAGAGGAUGAUCAGUCACACUGGAACUGAGACACGGUCCAGACUCCUACGGGAGGCAGCAGUGGGGAAUAUUGGACAAUGGGCGAAAGCCUGAUCCAGCCAUGCCGCGUGUGUGAAGAAGGUCUUCGGAUUGUAAAGCACUUUAAGUUGGGAGGCGUUACCAACAGAAUAAGCACCGGCUAACUUCGUGCCAGCAGCCGCGGUAAUUC